GAUGAACGCUGGCGGCGUGCUUAACACAUGCAAGUCGAACGAAGCAUUUGCGACAGAUUUUUUCGGAAUGAAGUUGCUUAUGACUGAGUGGCGGACGGGUGAGUAACGCGUGGGUAACCUGCCUUGUACUGGGGGAUAGCAGCUGGAAACGGCUGGUAAUACCGCAUAAGCGCACAAUGUUGCAUGACAUGGUGUGAAAAACUCCGGUGGUAUAAGAUGGACCCGCGUCUGAUUAGCUAGUUGGUGAGAUAACAGCCCACCAAGGCGACGAUCAGUAGCCGACCGGAGAGGGUGACCGGCCACAUUGGGACUGAGACACGGCCCAGACUCCGACGGGAGGCAGCAGUGGGGAAUAUUGCACAAUGGAGGAAACUCUGAUGCAGCGACGCCGCGUGAGUGAAGAAGUAAUUCGUUAUGUAAAGCUCUAUCAGCAGGGAAGAUAGUGACGGUACCUGACUAAGAAGCUCCGGCUAAAUACGUG
rnacentral:rRNA from 1 species